CGCAAUGGGCGAAAGCCUGACGCAGCGACGCCGCGUGCGGGAAGAAGGCCUUCGGGUUGUAAACCGCUUUCAGGAGGGACGAAGCCACUCGGGUUAAUACCCCAGAGGGUGACGGUACCUCCAGAAGAAGCCCCGGCUAACUACGUGCCAGCAGCCGCGGUAAUACGUAGGGGGCAAGCGUUGUCCGGAUUUAUUGGGCGUAAAGCGCGUGUAGGCGGCCAGGUAGGUCCGCUGUGAAAACUCGAGGCUCAACCUCGAGAUGUCGGCGGAAACCAUCUGGCUAGAGUCCGGAAGAGGAGAGUGGAAUUCCCGGUGUAGCGGUGAAAUGCGCAGAUAUCGGGAAGAACACCCGUGGCGAAGGCGGCUCUCUGGGACGGUACUGACGCUGAGACGCGAAAGCGUGGGGAGCGAACAGGAUUAGAUACCCUGGUAGUCCACGCCGUAAACGAUGGGAACUAGGUGUGGGCGGUGUCGACUCCGUCCGUGCCGAAGCUAACGCAUUAAGUUCCCCGCCUGGGGAGUACGGCCGCAAGGCUA
rnacentral:rRNA from 1 species